CAUCCAUGCGCGUGCUAUAAUGCAGUCGUGCGGACCUUUUAAAAGCUUGCUUUUAAAAGGUUAGCGGCGGACGGGUGAGUAACACGUGGGCAACCUGCCUGUAAGAUCGGGAUAACGCCGGGAAACCGGGGCUAAUACCGGAUAGUUUUUUCCUCCGCAUGGAGGAAAAAGGAAAGACGGCUUCGGCUGUCACUUACAGAUGGGCCCGCGGCGCAUUAGCUAGUUGGUGGGGUAACGGCUCACCAAGGCAACGAUGCGUAGCCGACCUGAGAGGGUGAUCGGCCACAUUGGGACUGAGACACGGCCCAAACUCCUACGGGAGGCAGCAGUAGGGAAUCUUCCGCAAUGGACGAAAGUCUGACGGAGCAACGCCGCGUGAGUGAAGAAGGCCUUCGGGUCGUAAAACUCUGUUGCCGGGGAAGAACAAGUGCCGUUCGAACAGGGCGGCGCCUUGACGGUACCCGGCCAGAAAGCCACGGCUAACUACGUGCCAGCAGCCGCGGUAAUACGUAGGUGGCAAGCGUUGUCCGGAAUUAUUGGGCGUAAAGCGCGCGCAGGCGGCUUCUUAAGUCUGAUGUGAAAUCUUGCGGCUCAACCGCAAGCGGUCAUUGGAAACUGGGAGGCUUGAGUGCAGAAGAGGAGAGUGGAAUUCCACGUGUAGCGGUGAAAUGCGUAGAGAUGUGGAGGAACACCAGUGGCGAAGGCGGCUCUCUGGUCUGUAACUGACGCUGAGGCGCGAAAGCGUGGGGAGCAAACAGGAUUAGAUACCCUGGUAGUCCACGCCGUAAACGAUGAGUGCUAAGUGUUAGAGGGUUUCCGCCCUUUAGUGCUGCAGCUAACGCAUUAAGCACUCCGCCUGGGGAGUACGGCCGCAAGGCUGAAACUCAAAGGAAUUGACGGGGGCCCGCACAAGCGGUGGAGCAUGUGGG
rnacentral:rRNA from 1 species